CAUUGGCCAGACACUGUAGGCUGCACACACACACACACACACUCACACACACACACACACACCACACACGCACAGACUCUCACACACACAUCACACACACACAGACUCACACAUACCACACAAACACACAUCACACACACACAUCACACACACACACACUCACACACACACCACACACGCACAGACUCACACACACACACCACACACAAACACACUCACACACACACAUAUCACACACACCACACACUCACACACACACACACACACAUCACACACACACUCACACACACACACAUCACACACACACUCACACACACACACACACAUCACACACACACUCACACACACCACACACGCACAGACUCACACACACACACCACACAAACACACUCACAUCACACACACACACCACACACACGCACACACCACACACUCACUCUCUCACACACACUCUCUCACAUACAUAAACACACACUCACAUACAUACGCACCACUCUCUCUCUCUCUCACACACACACACACACACACCACACAUCACACACACCACACACAUCACACAAACACACUGUCUCUCUCACACACACACACACACACCACACAUCACACACACCACACACAUCACACAAACACACUGUCUCUCUCACACACACACACACACACCACACAUCACACACACCACACACAUCACACAAACACACUGUCUCUCUCACACACACAUACAUACACACACACUCUCUCACACAGACACACCACACACACACACAAACACACCUCUCUCACCACACGCACACCUCUCUCUCUCUCUCUCUCUCUCUCUCUCUCACACACACACACACACACACACACACACAUCACACAAACACACACUCUCUCACACAUACAUACACACACACAUACAUACACACCACACUCUCACACACACAAACACACCUCUCUCUCACCACACACAUCUCUCUCUCUCUCUCUCUCUCUCUCUUCUCUCUCUCUCUCUCUCACACACACACACACACACAACACACACACACACACACACACACACACACAAUCCCUCUGGAGAAAUACCAGCGACGCCCGGAAACCUAA
rnacentral:lncRNA from 1 species